CUUUCUAAUGUUCUCACUAGCUCACUUUUUUUUUUUUUGCUGCAUAUUUAUAAUCGAGUAGACAGGACAAGUUCCAGUCUCCACUAACCACCUAGAGAGGAUGUUGAGAUUUUAAGCUGUAGAAGUUGCUCUUGGUUUAGCCAGGUUCUUGCAGUCAGAAGAAGUGCUGUGUGCCCUGUUCUGAUGGGCUCAGGGGGUGCCAUGGCCAUGGGUCUCUGUGCUUGGUGGUGGGAACACAGCUCCACACCUGGUCUCAGAGCACAGGUGAAGACGUUCUCCCCGUCAUGGGGGUAAUCCCUGGGGACAAGGUGCUGGGGUGAAGCCGGCCGUGUUGGGGGUCCUCUUCAGCCACUGGUGCUUCGAGUUUGGAGUAGAACCUGCUCCCUGGUGGGCAGGUGGUGCCAUGCAGGAUUGUUGUGACAAAUCCAGUUCCUUCUGAUAUUCCUCUCCCUCCCCUCCCCUCCCUCUUCCCUCUUCUCCUCCUCUCCCCUCCCCUCCUGCCCCCCCUUUCCUCCCCUCCCCCUCCUCUUCUCCUCACCCUCCCAUUCAGGAGUUUAUUCUCUCUAACUCAUUUUCUUGCUCUUUCAUUUCAGGCAUGAUUUGUUUCCUUAGGAAUUCCUUCUAUAGUACUUGGAGCUUUGUGGAUAAAGCACCAGUCAGAGCCGCCCUGUGGAAAUGGAGCAAAGAGUUGAAAUGUGAUUCCCAACCUGGAGUGGAUGCUCUUUUCACGCUCAGCUGGGUCUCUAACUCCUGAAAUAUUAAUCUGACAUAGGACAAGUACCAUCCAGGGAUGUGAAAAAUCCAGCCUGAGGCCCCAAACAGAGUGGGGCCUGCUCUCUGGGCAGAUCCAGAGCUCCUGAAGAUGAAAACCUCGUAAGCCAACUGUGGACUCGGUGCUUUGCUGCAAGAGGAUUCAUUUGAGCUAUAAUAAAAAGUAGUGUGUUUAUUUAACCCCUGU
rnacentral:lncRNA from 1 species